AUUUAUGUAGUUUAAUAAAAACAUUACACUUUCAUUGUAAAAAUAAAGAACAAUUUCAUAAAUU
rnacentral:tRNA from 1 species